rnacentral:rRNA from 1 species
GAUGAACGCUGGCGGCGUGCCUAACACAUGCAAGUCGAGCGAUUCUCCUCGGAGAAGAGCGGCGGACGGGUGAGUAACGCGUGGGUAACCUGCCCUGUACACACGGAUAACAUACCGAAAGGUAUGCUAAUACGAGAUAAUAUGCUUUUAUCGCAUGGUAGAAGUAUCAAAGCUUUUGCGGUACAGGAUGGACCCGCGUCUGAUUAGCUAGUUGGUAAGGUAACGGCUUACCAAGGCGACGAUCAGUAGCCGACCUGAGAGGGUGAUCGGCCACAUUGGAACUGAGACACGGUCCAAACUCCUACGGGAGGCAGCAGUGGGGAAUAUUGCACAAUGGGGGAAACCCUGAUGCAGCAACGCCGCGUGAGUGAUGACGGCCUUCGGGUUGUAAAGCUCUGUCUUCAGGGACGAUAAUGACGGUACCUGAGGAGGAAGCCACGGCUAACUACGUGCCAGCAGCCGCCGUAA